UACGGAGGGUGCGAGCGUUGUCCGGAAUCACUGGGCGUAAAGGGCGCGUAGGCGGUCCGGUAAGCGCGUGGGGAAAGCUCGGGGCUCAACCCCGAGUCGGCCGUGCGAACUGCGGGACUGGAGCAGAUCAGAGGCAGGCGGAAUUCCGGGUGUAGCGGUGGAAUGCGUAGAGAUCCGGAAGAACACCGGUGGCGAAGGCGGCCUGCUGGGAUCUCGCUGACGCUGAGGCGCGACAGCGUGGGGAGCAAACAGG
rnacentral:rRNA from 1 species